rnacentral:rRNA from 1 species
GAUGAACGCUAGCGGCAGGCUUAAUACAUGCAAGUCGAGGGGCAGCAUGAAUGUAGCAAUACAAUUGAUGGCGACCGGCAAACGGGUGCGGAACACGUACACAACCUUCCAAUAAGUGGGGAAUAGCCCAGAGAAAUUUGGAUUAAUACCCCGUAACAUAACGAUGUGGCAUCACAUUGUUAUUAUAGAUUUUUCGCUUAUUGAUGGGUGUGCGGCUGACUAGAUAGUUGGCGGGGUAACGGCCCACCAAGUCUACGGUCAGUAGCUGAUGUGAAGGCAUGAUCAGCCACACGGGCACUGAGACACGGGCCCGACUCCUACGGGAGGCAGCAGUAAGGAAUAUUGGACAAUGGACGCAAGUCUGAUCCAGCCAUGCCGCGUGAAGGAUUAAGGUCCUCUGGAUUGUAAACUUCUUUUAUAAGGGACGAAAAAAGGCUUUUCUAAGUCGUCUGACGGUACCUUAUGAAUAAGCACCGGCUAACUCCGUGCCAGCCGCCGCGGUAAUAC